AAAAAGACAAACUCUGGUUUCCGUGCCCAACGUUUGACCGUCUGUCUUAUUUAAAAAAAUUAUAAAAAAAUUAAAAAGACAAGUCACGUAUAAAAUAUUAAUUAUAUUUUAUCAUCUAACAACAAUAAAAAUACGAAUUAUAAAAAAAAUUUAUAUAAGACGGACAGUCAAAGUUGGACACGGAAACUUAGGGUUUGACUUUUU
rnacentral:pre_miRNA from 1 species